AAAACCUCUCAGUUUCAAUACUGGACAUGCCAGAUGGUACUAAUUUGAACACAUCAUUCCAUGCUUCCUGGAGUAAUCACACAGCUUGCUUAGAUUUUCUAAACAUGACUGAACUGUGAUGAAGCGAUCAACAUUAACUGCCAAGACUCCACAUAGCAAUGAUGUGCUGGCCACCCACUGGGAAAACACCUGUCACCCCUUGAUGGACCUUUCUGACACUGUUUGCCUGUCCUCAAAAGUUCCUGAAAUAUUUACCAGUCAGCAUCUUGGAAAAAACAAAUAAUGGGGCCUUCUCAGAGUGAGGAAGCUUCCUGGAGGGUCAUCAGGACACUACAGAAGAGCUAAUCCAACAUGGAUCUCUAAAACUAUGCAAUUAAGACGAGUGUGGUGGCUCACACCUGUAAUGCCGGCACUUCGGGAGACCAAGGCGGUUGGAUCACUUGAGACCAGGAGUUUAAGGUCAGCCUGGGCAACAUGGCAAAACCCUGUCUCCACUAAAAAUAAAAAAAUUAGCCCUGCGUGGUGGGCAGACCUGUGGUCCCAGCUUUCAGGAGGCUGAGGCACGAGAAUUGCUUGAGCUCAGGAGGCGGAGGCUGAAGUGAGCCAAUAUCGGCAACUGCACUCCAGCCUGGGCAACAGAGCAAGACUGUGUCUCAAAAAAAUAAAUAAAAUAAAAUAAAUAAAAUAAAAUAAAGCUAUGCUAUUAGCUCAAGUAAUCUAAUUGCAUUACAUCAAUUUUAAAAAUUAUUUUCAAAAAUGUAUUUCAAUGUUAUCUGCUACCUUGCAUCACUACCUUCUUGCCCUGAUUUUCACAGCAAAAUCUUGUACAUAAGUAUCUACCAACUGUAAAAAAAAAGCCUCAGAUUAUGUUCCAUAGAUAAUGCAGAAUCAAGGCAAUUACCUGGAAAUGGAUAUCAAAAAUAAAUUUUUAUCUCAAAUAGAUAUUUUAGUAAAAAGAAGCUUGUUGUUAUAAAUUAUGUUAAUAAAAACAUAGUAGUUCACUUCAGUUUGCAUAUAUAUAGUUUCAACAUCUAGCUUGGUUUACUCCCAAGAGACAAAAUUAAGCUAAAAAAAUUUUUUUCAGAUGCCUCAUCUGUUUAGGGUUUAUUUUUCUUUUGCAGUUUAGGAUUGUGGCUGAUAUUUUAAUAAAUAAGUUAGAAAAAUAGGGUAGCAUGAAUAUUAAUUAAAACAAUUCAGAAUAUAUCAAAUAUGUAAGAGGUUAUUUGCUAUAAAACUGAUAACUAAAAGAAAGAGAAAGGAGACAGAAUUGAACUGUCACCAAGGCUCGAACUCCAUUUUCCUAGUAGCUGUUACCGAAUUGCAGAUAACACAUAAAUCUCUGUGCUGAAGUGUGAGCUCUCUAAUCAAAGGAGCAAUCUUCUGAGCAAUCCUGAAGCUCAAAGUGUUCACUCCCUUUGAGCAAACCCUGUGUAGGAAAUUCGUAUGUAGGAAAUUCAUUUUUGACACUGCUAUAAUAAGUUGUUACUCUUGCUUUCAGCUGGCUUAGUUUUAAAAUCUGUUUUAUUCUUAUUAGCUUAAAAAUAUUAUAAUUAUUAUGUGUUCCAUUAUGUUUUAUUUUCAUUUAUAAAAAAGCAUAUGUUCUAUAUCCUGAUUUUUUUCUCUUAUCAUGUUAACACCAAUGAUCUAUAUCAUAAUGUUUUUGUAGUUGCAUAAUUUGGAUAUAUCAUAGUUAUUUAGUCAUUCUAUGAGUUAACUUUCAGGCUUUUUCUCUUUUUUAUUUCUUUAGCUAUUAUUAACAAUGAUGCCAUAGUUAUCCUUAAAGAAGUAUCUUUUCAUAAUAGUACUUUUAUUUCUACAUAUUAAAUUGUGAUUCCUUUUAAACUUCUUUAAAUUUAAAUAUAUAUAUUUUUUAGCGACAAGGUCUUGUUAUGUUGCCUAGGCUGGACUUGAAUCCUGGGCUCAAGGUAACCUACCACCUUAGCCUUCCUUCAGAGUAGCUGGUACUACAGGCAUGCAACCCUACACCAGGAUACAAAUUGUGUGUUUCUUGAGUCAAAUGGUUUGAAUGCUUUUUAAAAUUUUAAGAUUACUACUCCAAAAUGAUUACUGUAUCAAAUUUUAAGUUAUAAUAAUUAUAAUUAUUUAGAAUCAUACCACCAAUGUGUGAGAGUACCCAUUUUGACAAACUCACAUAAAUCUCUGGAUAUUAUAAAUAUAGUUAGAUUUUAGUAGAUUUUUAGUUAGAUUUUAGUUAGCCAUUCCUGGCUGUGAGUGAGACAGAAUGUCUUCUUACAUGUUUGUUCGUCAUUUGUGAUCCAUUAAAACAAAUAAUCACAAAAAUAAACUUAUUUAUGGUUUUUUAUAUUUCAUUUUAGUCUUUUAAAUGAAAAACAUUAUUAGUCUGAGCUCUUUAGACACCAUUCGUUAGACAGUGCAAGCAAAGUUAACUUUCACACCUUCUGAAUUUAGAGAUGAUAUGUACAAAAUCAAUAUUCAACAAAAUCCAACAAAAUGUAAUUAGCAUCUACUUUGUGUCGGGCACUACUUUAGGCAUAAAUAUGAGUAAGAUACAGCCCCUAUCCUCAAAAUAGAGAGAUAAAGCAGUAAAUAAUUCUAAAACAAUUUGCUAAUGACAAUGUGACUUCCUUAAGGACAAGGACAAUAACUUUUUCCCUUAGUAGCUAAAAGUAAAGAACAAAGAAAGAAAUGAGCAAAGAAAUUAGUUGUGACCACAGUAUAAAAAAAGAGAAUAAGGCAUGGCCCCAGAGAUCCAGGAAAUUAUUCACUAGAAAGCCAGUUUGUAAAGUUUGAGAGUAGGAUAGGGAGUUGAGGGAGGUGGGAGAAGAAGAGAGGAGGCCUACAGGACAAAGCAGGUCUAACUCUUACAUAUCCAAAGUCAUAAACUGUGUACAAAGUGAGGGAAUAUAAAUGUUACACAAUAAUUAUUAUCUAAAAUAUAUUACUUUUCAACACUGGCCAAAUCUCCCAACCCAGUGACUGUUUUCAAACUGAGAUGAAACUUGAGGGAAGUCCUCAGUAAAAUGAUUUUACUUAUUUAACUCUAAACCUAUUUUUGAAUAGGUUUCGAAGCUUUUUCUAAUUUAGGAAAUGAAAAAAAAAUUUAAUUACUUUGAAAUUAUUCUGUAAAAAUACAAGAUGUAGUUGUUCUGUCUUUACUCAUGGGUAACGCCA
rnacentral:lncRNA from 1 species